rnacentral:rRNA from 1 species
GAUGAACGCUGGCGGCGUGCCUAAUACAUGCAAGUCGAGCGAACAGACGAGGAGCUUGCUCCUCUGACGUUAGCGGCGGACGGGUGAGUAACACGUGGAUAACCUACCUAUAAGACUGGGAUAACUUCGGGAAACCGGAGCUAAUACCGGAUAAUAUAUUGAACCGCAUGGUUCAAUAGUGAAAGACGGUUUUGCUGUCACUUAUAGAUGGAUCCGCGCCGCAUUAGCUAGUUGGUAAGGUAACGGCUUACCAAGGCAACGAUGCGUAGCCGACCUGAGAGGGUGAUUGGCCACACUGGAACUGAGACACGGUCCAGACUCCUACGGGAGGCAGCAGUAGGGAAUCUUCCGCAAUGGGCGAAAGCCUGACGGAGCAACGCCGCGUGAGUGAUGAAGGCCUUCGGAUCGUAAAACUCUGUUAUUAGGGAAGAACAAAUGUGUAAGUAACUAUGCACGUCUUGACGGUACCUAAUCAGAAAGCCACGGCUAACUACGUG